rnacentral:rRNA from 1 species
GUGGGGAAUAUUGCACAAUGGGCGCAAGCCUGAUGCAGCCAUGCCGCGUGUGUGAAGAAGGCCUUCGGGUUGUAAAGCACUUUCAGCGGGGAGGAAGGCGAUAAGGUUAAUAACCUUGUCGAUUGACGUUACCCGCAGAAGAAGCACCGGCUAACUCCGUGCCAGCAGCCGCGGUAAUACGGAGGGUGCAAGCGUUAAUCGGAAUUACUGGGCGUAAAGCGCACGCAGGCGGUCUGUCAAGUCGGAUGUGAAAUCCCCGGGCUCAACCUGGGAACUGCAUUCGAAACUGGCAGGAUAGAGUCUUGUAGAGGGGGGUAGAAUUCCAGGUGUAGCGGUGAAAUGCGUAGAGAUCUGGAGGAAUACCGGUGGCGAAGGCGGCCCCCUGGACAAAGACUGACGCUCAGGUGCGAAAGCGUGGGGAGCAAACAGGAUUAGAAACCCUGGUAGUCC